AUCACUGUCGGUGUAUUUAUGGAUUUGGAAAUUGGAAUGCGUGAAAGUCCUCAUCAGAGUGAAAGCCAGGCAAGCACAACAAGAUUUGUUCGACUGUGACAAAGACAAACUUGGCAGCUCUCCGCUGGAUCAUAUGAUAAUUUAUUAGUGUACAUUAAACAAUGUCGGACAUGUUUAGUUUUAGCGAUGCCGACCGUUACAACAAUAUAUUACAAAUGCUGAUACGAUGUUGUGUUAAGGUCAUGAAAAGGCUUCUGCCAAUUUUUGUGUCUUCACUUGGCUACAUAUGUGUGGAUCAAUUCCUUUCGAGAGAAAAAGCUCAUAUAUUAAAGAUGCCAUCUGCUUCUUCGAAAAUGAAUCAAGACAUACUAUAUCCGCCAUCUGGUACACGAUCAAAUGUCGAGAAAUGGGACAUGUCAUUACUAAGUUGUGUUUUUACACACGUUCAAAGGAAGCUCUUGUGCUAUGAAAUCGCAGAUCCAAUUGAUCCAGUUCUUAUACACUACAAACUCGAAGUGCUUGCAACAGCAGUUGGUCAACAAUACGAAGACAAACUUUAUCCUAGGUCCGGAAAGGCAACAGAGGUGAACACAUGGAAUAUAUCCUUAUGCUCUUGUCUUUUCUCGGUGUUGUGUCCCAAACCACAAACAUUGUAUGUUAGAUUAGCAGAGUCCUUGAAUGGUUUGAGAGAGAUUAGGAACACCCUUUGUCAUUCAGAAAGGCUAGAGAUGGAACAAAUAGUUUACGAAGAACACAUGCUUGUUUUAAAAGAGUUUAUUUCCUCGGGGCUGAUAUAUAUAGGUGAUACUG